GCUGUGCUGUUUUUCCGCUGCAGGAGGAGGGCCAGUAAACCCAAAGAGCCACCUGUGGAAACACAGAACGCCACUGUCUCAGAGACCAACCGAGAGGAUGAGGACAUCAGUGAGGACAGACAGAGCAGAUCCCCCCCUCCUGUGGAAAUCUCCUCAAUUUACACUUAUGUCAACUAUAGCAACUGUCCCACUGCAGCUGGUUCUCAACACAAAGCUGCUGCGGACGACUCGAGUGAACUCAGCUACUCUCUGGUGGAAUUUUCCAGAGUUUCCACCACCUCACUCAACAGAACAACCCGUGCUAACGCCAAUGAUGGCAUCUACUCUGUGCUUCAGCUGAAGGCGAACUCUGAUGCCAGCCAUAAAGACGCUUCAUCACCUCUGUACUCUACUGUUACUUUCCCUCUGCAGUAACUUCAACCCUGCUGCUGCCACGGUUACUCUCCCAUGACCAGCAGGUGAACAGGCGUGGGUUUGCAUGAGUAACAUUCACGCUAAAAUCUAUUUUUACUUGAGACAUCCUGUCUGACAUCCUGUUAUAUUCCUAGGUAGGUAAUGUGUGUUAAUAGGUAAUGUGAAGUUAUGUUAUAAUUGAUAAUUAGCGGACACUUAAUAGCACCAUUAAUUAGUGCCAACAUUUUGUUUUGUUGGAGGAAAUGAUCCCUGUUAAAGAUAAUGGGCCUAACUGACAGCUUUGCUGCUGGAAAUGUGGAAAGUAGCCUAUCAUGUCUACACUUCAUGGUGUUUGAGGGAUUUUCCUUUUUGUUUUUUAAAGAGGGACACUAGGUAUAUUUCUGCACAACUGUUAAUUUCUAACACAGCUCAAUAUCAGGAUGAUUUUAUUCAGACUAUCAGUUUGGUGUUGAUAUGAUUUAACUGUGGCGUCAGCUUUAAGCUUUAUUGUAGCAUAUAUAACGUUAUGACAAAGAAGACCAAUUUAUCAGACGCAAUGAUGUUAGACGAUAAUUGUAUUAUACACGCAAUUCAUCUGCGCAGCAUUGAUUUCAUGGGAUUCAUGGGUGUGAUCAGUGUCAGGUGUACAGGUACAGGUACUGUAGCUACUUGAACCAGUGAUGAAUAAUUUAACCUACACAUCAUUUUAUUUGCUGCCUUGUGUUGUCUUGAUUUUUCCCUCUCUUCUCCUCUAUUUCUUCUUUCCUUACUCGUUUCUUUUUUUCUUCUGUGAUUUCAUUGAUGUUUUGACAGGGGAAUUUCUUUGAUAAGCUUUUAGUGGCUUCUGACCUCUCCGGCACUUUUCUUUUUUUAUUCUUGUAAAUUUUAUUUUUAACAUUAUCUGCAAAUAAACUAAUCUAAACUAAAACUAAACAUUAUUCAUCCCGUUAUGUGUUGCCACGCAUGUUUCCUCCUCCUGCAGCUGCCACGGUGUUGGCCUUUUCUCUAAUGUUGCUUUUCUUCUCC